rnacentral:rRNA from 1 species
AUGGUGAAGUUCACAGCGGAGGAGCUCCGUGGAAUCAUGGACAAAAAGAACAAUAUCCGGAACAUGUCGGUUAUUGCUCAUGUAGACCACGGCAAGUCUACGCUUACGGAUUCCCUUGUGGCAGCUGCUGGGAUUAUUGCCCAGGAAGUUGCUGGUGAUGUUCGCAUGACCGAUACCCGUGCAGAUGAGGCAGAGCGUGGUAUCACAAUCAAAUCCACGGGUAUCUCUCUUUUCUAUCAGAUGACUCCUGAAUCACUCGAGAUGUACAAGGGCGAUCGCGAUGGGGAUGAAUACCUGAUCAACCUUAUUGAUUCACCUGGCCACGUUGACUUUUCUUCGGAAGUCACAGCUGCUCUUCGUAUCACUGAUGGAGCUUUGGUGGUUGUUGACUGUAUUGAGGGUGUCUGUGUGCAGACUGAAACUGUGCUGCGCCAAGCUCUUGGUGAGAGGAUUAGGCCAGUCCUUACUGUGAACAAGAUGGACAGAUGCUUCCUUGAGCUUCAGGUGGAAGGUGAGGAAGCAUAUCAGACUUUCUCCCGUGUUAUCGAAAAUGCCAAUGUCAUCAUGGCAACAUAUGAAGAUGUGCUCCUUGGGGAUGUCCAAGUGUACCCUGAAAAGGGGACUGUUGCAUUCUCUGCUGGUCUGCAUGGGUGGGCUUUCACCCUUACAAACUUUGCUAAGAUGUAUGCCUCCAAGUUUGGAGUUGACGAGGCAAAGAUGAUGGAGAGGCUGUGGGGUGAGAACUUCUUCGACCCAGCCACAAAGAAAUGGACCUCCAAGAACACCGGGACAGCUACCUGCAAGAGAGGUUUCGUUCAGUUCUGCUAUGAGCCAAUCAAGCAAAUCAUAGCCACCUGCAUGAAUGAUCAGAAGGAUAAGUUGUGGCCUAUGUUGAAGAAGCUUGGAGUGACCAUGAAGAAUGAUGAGAAGGACUUGAUGGGCAAGGCUCUCAUGAAGCGUGUGAUGCAAACUUGGCUGCCUGCCAGUCGUGCUCUGCUUGAGAUGAUGAUAUUUCACCUCCCCUCUCCUUCAAAGGCCCAGAGGUACCGUGUGGAGAACUUAUACGAGGGCCCCCUUGAUGACAUAUAUGCAAAUGCUAUCAGAAACUGUGACCCUGAUGGUCCUCUUAUGCUGUACGUCUCCAAGAUGAUUCCAGCAUCUGACAAGGGUAGAUUCUUUGCCUUUGGACGUGUUUUUGCCGGGAGGGUUGCAACUGGCAUGAAGGUCCGUAUCAUGGGUCCCAACUUUGUUCCUGGCCAGAAGAAGGAUCUGUAUGUGAAGAGUGUCCAGCGUACUGUUAUCUGGAUGGGAAAGAAGCAAGAGUCUGUUGAGGAUGUUCCCUGUGGUAACACUGUUGCUUUGGUUGGUUUGGAUCAGUUCAUCACAAAGAAUGCAACCCUGACAAAUGAGAAGGAAGUUGAUGCCUGCCCAAUCAGGGCAAUGAAGUUCUCUGUGUCCCCUGUUGUGCGUGUUGCUGUUCAGUGCAAGGUGGCCUCUGAUCUUCCCAAGCUUGUUGAGGGUUUGAAGCGUCUGGCAAAGUCUGACCCUAUGGUUCUCUGUACCAUUGAAGAGUCUGGUGAACAUAUCAUUGCUGGAGCUGGAGAGCUUCACCUUGAAAUCUGUUUGAAGGAUCUGCAGGAUGACUUCAUGGGUGGUGCUGAAAUCAUUGUUUCCCCUCCUGUCGUCUCCUUCCGUGAGACUGUUCUAGAGAAGUCCUGCCGUACAGUCAUGAGCAAGUCCCCGAACAAGCACAACCGUCUUUACAUGGAAGCUCGCCCCUUGGAGGAGGGACUGGCUGAGGCCAUUGAUGAUGGGCGCAUUGGCCCACGUGACGAUCCUAAGGUGCGGUCUAAGAUCCUGUCUGAGGAGUUUGGCUGGGACAAGGAUCUUGCCAAGAAGAUUUGGUGCUUUGGACCUGAGACGACUGGCCCCAACAUGGUUGUUGACAUGUGUAAGGGAGUGCAGUAUCUUAAUGAAAUCAAGGACUCUGUUGUGGCUGGGUUCCAGUGGGCGUCGAAGGAAGGUGCACUGGCUGAGGAGAACAUGCGUGGCAUCUGCUUCGAGGUCUGUGAUGUUGUUCUCCACACUGAUGCUAUUCACAGGGGUGGUGGUCAGGUCAUUCCCACGGCCAGGAGGGUCAUUUAUGCUUCUCAGCUGACUGCCAAGCCAAGGCUGCUGGAGCCUGUGUACCUGGUUGAAAUCCAGGCCCCGGAGAAUGCGCUUGGUGGCAUCUAUGGUGUUCUGAAUCAGAAGAGAGGGCACGUGUUCGAGGAGAUGCAGAGGCAAGGUACCCCGCUCUACAACAUCAAGGCCUACCUCCCCGUCAUCGAGUCCUUUGGGUUCUCAAGCACCCUGAGGGCUGCGACGUCCGGCCAGGCCUUCCCCCAGUGUGUGUUUGACCACUGGGACAUCAUGGCUUCCGAUCCUUUGGACCCCGGCACCCAGUCUGCGACGCUCGUCACGGAGAUCCGCAAGAGGAAGGGGCUCAAGGAGCAGAUGACCCCUCUAUCCGAUUUCGAAGACAAGCUCUAA